rnacentral:tRNA from 1 species
GGGGCUGUAGCUCAGUGGUAGAGCACUUGCCUAGCAUGCAUGAGGCACUGGAUUCGAUCUUCAGCACCA